AUAGUAUCUGACGAGUUGGGAAGAUUUCUGCAAGUACUUCUUUCUUAUCUUAUCGGUCAGUGUUUUGAGGUGUUUUCCACACAUUAUUUCUCCAGAGAGGUGUACAUCAGAUAAAGCUUCCACCACCGCUGUUCUAGUGAUCAAGACAUUCUCUCAAUAUAAAAGUACUACCUCACAUAGAUAUAAUACUUUAUACCUUUUCUACGGGGAAGCGUGUUCGGUGGAGGAGACGAUAAAAAUUGGAAAGAUACGACGUGAAAAUAAAGCCAUGUGACUGCUGUGGAUGGUUAUAUUUCGAUGCGAUCAUAACUCAUAAGUUUUGUAUUUGUGUGACCAUUUUUGUGUUGAGUGUGAGUGCCUUUGGAGGUGUAAUUCAAGCUUCGACCGCUUCAUAUUCAUUGUUUCAGCGACCACGAAAGCACCAACAGAGUGCCAUAUUUCCUUCCAAAAUUAUCUCGUAUACGUGCAACCUGUAAUCGUUCAAAAAAUUUUUACUUUCUUCCACGGCACCGUGUUACAUCAUCAGGUGCACUAGUUGGUGGUGUUUGAUGAAGAACUAACGGCCGCCAAUUGCUUUAUGGGAAACAAACGGUCAUAUAAAGUGAAUUGGAUGGCCCAGUGUUGAUAAAAGUGUGGCGAAAGUGAGUUGAAAAACGAUCGGUUUUUUUCUUCUUCAAAUGAAACUUUAAAAGGAAAAUCCCGUGAUUUGUUGGUAAAAAAAAGAAAAAUUAACAAUUUCUAUCAUCUAUGUUGGAAAUCACGUGAUAGUUUAGCAGAGAGGAAAAUGUGUCGUUGUUUGCAAUCAAUAUGGGAGGAUUUCUACUGGCACUGUAUUGAGGAAAAGUUCUGCUACGAUGAAAGUAUCGCACACUACAACCCGGAGGAAGAUGAGUACAUUGUUGCGAAUAAGGAAAAAAAUGGUAUGAUUGUGGAUACCAAUCAGGGCACCAACAAUCCACCAAUUUGUGCACAACCAAUGCGAAUUCAGCGACAUUGCUCAACAAUAAGUUCGAAAAUUCACGAGGAUGACUUUCACCGUGAUAUCCAAACGAAUGUUCCUGUUUUGGCACCGGAAAUUUUGGCCGUGUUCCGAAACUCACAAAUUUUUCAUGACCAUUCCCAGAAAAUAAGUAAGAAUCUUUCUGCAAAGCCAACAUUUAUCACACACCAACCGACCACACAACACAAUACCACAAAAGUUCAGCAAGAGCAAAAAUCCGAUGUGGAGGAAAAGCUUUUGUCGCGCCUGGAAGCUGAAGCUAAAACAGCAGAUGUACAGAGUGAUGAUGCUGAGCCACAGAAACUGGGCGCCAUAUCAAUCAGGAAAUUCUCAGCAAUAGACGAGGAGGAUGAAUUCUUCCCGGAGACACGAACGGUGAAACCUGUAGGAAAAUAUCUCGCACCCUCCGAUGGGACCCCCUUGCGACCGCGAAGUCUCAAGCAUGUCCAGAGUGUGCCACACCUACCAAUUCGUCCGAGUAGUGAAACUGAUAUCUUCACCAUCACAUCGUCCUACAGUCAAAUCAGUAUGACCCCGGAAAUCCCGUCCAUCUCCUUCAGUGCACUACCGAAGAAUUUCGAAGAUCGACCGUCCAUUGAGUAUCGCGAGGCGAAGAGUUUGCAAUCCAUUCAGACGGCAAAUUGCAUGCGAACGGCCGAAUUUGACUUCUCCAUGCCACGCUACUUCCGGCAUUCGGAGCUCUACCCCCAGAGCAGUGAACCCUCAUCGCAGGCGGGGAGUGUCGAGAGUGUCCUCAAGAGGAGUACCUCAACGCAGAAUUUGAGGCAAAUUGAGAAGAGUAAGAGGCUCAAGGCACUUCGAGGAACUCUCCCACCACUUCUCAUUGCUGCAAAGGAAAAGCACUGAAUAAGGGGGUGAGGUUCCAUCAGGGACGACGAGAGAUUUUAUUUUAUUAGACAUUUUUAAAGGAAUUUUAAGGCAAAAAAAUACUGACCAUCUCUCUUCUAUUACAAUUUUGUUUUAAAAUCAAUUUCACUUGUUUUUCGUGCAACGAAGGGUUGGGAUAUGUUGUAUAGAUGAUCCUUUUUUGGAAAUUAGUUCCAAAUUUCUUUAUGUAAAAAAAAUCAAUUUUUAAAUUUGGUUGUUUAUUUGAGUCAUUUUGAGUUACCAAAAGCAAAGAAUUGUAUUCAAUUUAUUUCAUAUAGACCAUGUAAAAACCUUUUAAAGUAUUAAUAGAAAUUCUAUAUAGAAUUUUUGAAAUAUUGUCGAUAAAAAAUUAGAGAAAAAAAUUGUGAAGAAUUGUAAAAAAAAAUCUAAUAAGUGACAAAAAUUGAAAAUAAAUAAAAGCUAUUUUGGCCAGUACUCUGCGUUGAUACCACUGCUU